AUUGAACGCUGGCGGCAUGCCUUACACAUGCAAGUCGAACGGCAGCACGGGAGCUUGCUCCUGGUGGCGAGUGGCGAACGGGUGAGUAAUGCAUCGGAACGUGCCCUGAAGUGGGGGAUAACGUAGCGAAAGUUACGCUAAUACCGCAUAUUCUGUGAGCAGGAAAGCAGGGGAUCUUCGGACCUUGCGCUUUUGGAGCGGCCGAUGUCGGAUUAGCUAGUUGGUGGGGUAAAGGCCCACCAAGGCGACGAUCCGUAGCGGGUCUGAGAGGAUGAUCCGCCACACUGGAACUGAGACACGGUCCAGACUCCUACGGGAGGCAGCAGUGGGGAAUUUUGGACAAUGAGCGCAAGCCUGAUCCAGCCAUGCCGCGUGAGUGAAGAAGGCC
rnacentral:rRNA from 1 species